GGCUCUGUGGUGAUAAGCACGUCAGAUUGCAAACCUGAAGGUGCAGGUUAUAGCCUGCCGGGGCCU